CAAAGCUCCAAGACAGACCUGUAGCAGCAUGGCCCAAAAAGUUCCUCUGCUGCCCCAGUCCCAUACCUGCCUGAGGUACGGGGGUUCAGGCUGAGUCGGCUGACCUGGAGUCAUCUGGAAGCCUUGUCAGAAAUGCAGAUUCUGCAGUGCUGUUCCCAGAGGAUGAGAUUCAGCAGAACUGGGUGUUGGAUAUUAUAUGAAGAGAUUUGCAAGUGUUAUUUUACGUAAUUCGCACUUUACAAAGGAGGAAACUGCAGCGCAGGUACCAAGGUUGCCCCAUCUCGGUCCAGGCCUGCUCCCGGCGAGCCACUCGCCCUUGACCACGCCUCCUCUCUCCUGAUUGGCUGUCAGGCAUGAGUCGACAGAGAAAGAUGACCACUGCCCUCACCCCACUAAAGAAGCCCCAGCACUUAGCAAGCACUUAUGGCCC
rnacentral:lncRNA from 1 species